UAAGAGGUUUUUUUUGAAACCAUCAAUCUUAAAUACUAAGGUUCAAU
rfam:Cecembia lonarensis LW9 contig000028, whole genome shotgun sequence.